AUCAACUCGAGGCAGACACAAAGCUAUAAAACCAAAUCAACGUUGAGUUUUUAAACAGAAUUAAAAGGUUUUUCAGACCAUAAACAAAGACCCAAAAGCACAGAUAAGCACAAAAUACAAAAAAAUAAAAAAAUAAAAUAAUUCAACCUGAUGCAUGUACAAAACAUUGAAACAAAAUCAAGAUUGAAUUUUUAAAAAGAAUUAAAAGACCUUUCAGAUCCAACAAAACAGAUAGCCCCACAAACAGAAAAUUCAACUUGGUGCAGCAACAAAGCUAUAAAACCAAAUCAAGAUUGAAACUUUAAACAGAAUUAAAAGGUUUUUCUGAUCAUAAACACAUACCCAACAAAACAUAUAGCAAGAAAAUAAAAUAAAA